rnacentral:rRNA from 1 species
AGUGAACGCUGGCGGUAGGCCUAACACAUGCAAGUCGAACGGCAGCACAGGAGAGCUUGCUCUCUGGGUGGCGAGUGGCGGACGGGUGAGGAAUACAUCGGAAUCUACUCUGUCGUGGGGGAUAACGUAGGGAAACUUACGCUAAUACCGCAUACGACCUACGGGUGAAAGCAGGGGAUCUUCGGACCUUGCGCGAUUGAAUGAGCCGCUGUCGGAUUAGCUAGUUGGCGGGGUAAAGGCCCACCAAGGCGACGAUCCGUAGCUGGUCUGAGAGGAUGAUCAGCCACACUGGAACUGAGACACGGUCCAGACUCCUACGGGAGGCAGCAGUGGGGAAUAUUGGACAAUGGGCGCAAGCCUGAUCCAGCCAUACCGCGUGUGUGAAGAAGGCCUUCGGGUUGUAAAGCACUUUCGGUGGGGACAAACAGGGCGGAACUAAUAUUUCCGCCUCUGAUGGUACCCAAAGAAGAAGCACCGGCUAACUCCGUGCCAGCAGCCGCGGUAA